rnacentral:rRNA from 1 species
GCCUAAAGCGUCCGUAGCCGGCUCUGUAAGUUUUCGGUUAAAUCCAUAUGCUCAACAUAUGGGCCGCCGGGAAUACUGCAUAGCUAGGGAGUGGGAGAGGUAGACGGUACUCCGUAGGAAGGGGUAAAAUCCUUUGAUCUAUGGAUGACCACCAGUGGCGAAGGCGGUCUACCAGAACACGUUCGACGGUGAGGGAUGAAAGCUGGGGGAGCAAACCGGAUUAGAUACCCGGGUAGUCCCAGCUGUAAACUAUGCAAACUCAGUGAUGCAUUGGCUUGUGGCCAGUGCAGUGCCGCAGAGAAGUCGUUAAGUUUGCCGCCUGGGAAGUACGUACGCAAGUAUGAAACUUAAAGGAAUUGGCGGGGGAGCACCACAAGGGGUGAAGCCUGCGGUUCAAUUGGAGUCAACGCCAGAAAUCUUACCCGGAGAGACAGCAGGAUGAAGGUCAAGCUGAAGACUUUACCAGACAAGCUGAGAAGUGGUGCAUGGCCGUCGCCAGCUCGUGCCGUGAGGUGUCCUGUUAAGUCAGGUAACGAGCGAGAUCCUUGCCUCUAGUUGCCACCAUUACUCUCAGGAGUAGUGGGGCGAAUUAGCGGGACUGCCGUAGUUAAUACGGAGGAAGGAGAGGGCCACGGCAGGUCAGUAUGCCCCGAA